UUAAUUUUUUUUGUUUGUCGUAAAACACAUGAGCUUUUGCGUUUUCGCAAGCUCAUUGUUACAGCGACCAACCCACCAAUCUCAAUCCUUUCGCUUUCUCCUUUGAUUCCCUCCCACAAAUACCAAGUUUUCAGCCCAAACUGCUCCAUCAAUUUCAGCACAGUGAUUGUGGUAGCUUAAUUGAGGGAUUGGUGCUGAAAGAUAGGAGUCCCUGAAAUGUAUGUGCCUGUGGCUACCUCUACAACAUCGAGGGGUGGAUUGCCUACUGACAAUGGGGACUCUGUUGUGGCAUUAGAUCAAGUUCCACGAUGGAAUGAUGCUGAUCAGUCUUUUGGCUUUGAAACCUCAUUUUCUACUUCACACUUUCCUGAUCCUUUGGCAACGCCCUCGGGAGCAGACUAUGGUGAUGGCACUGAGUCGGUGUCAAGGUUUCCAGUUGACCAUGAAGUCAAUUCAAAGAUAUAUUUGUGGAGGGGGAAUCCCUGGAAUCUUGAGGUGGAUGCGGUGGUAAAUUCAACAAAUGAGAAUAUGGAUGAAGCACACAGCAGCCCUGGAUUGCAUGCUGCAGCUGGACCUGGUCUUGCAGAAGAAUGUGCAACUCUGGGUGGAUGUCGAACAGGGAUGGCUAAAGUUACUAAUGCGCAUGACCUUCCUGCCAGGAGAAUUAUCCAUACUGUUGGCCCAAAGUAUGCUGUAAAGUACCAUACUGCUGCAGAGAAUGCUUUAAGUCAUUGCUAUCGUUCUUGCCUGGAGCUUCUAGUCGAAAAUGGGCUUCAAAGCAUUGCUAUGGGUUGUAUUUAUACGGAGGCAAAGAACUAUCCUCGAGAACCAGCUGCACAUGUAGCUAUAAGAACUGUGCGGCGAUUUCUUGAGAAGCAAAAAAACAACACAACAGCUGUUGUCUUUUGCACUGUGACCACAACUGAUACUGAGAUAUAUAAAAGGUUGCUUCCACUUUACUUUCCUCGAGAUAAACAUGAGGAGCAGGUUGCCUUGGCAAAACUUCCCGCAGAUGUUGGGGAUGAGAAUGGUGAGACCAUCAUAGAUGAGCGUAAAAUCAGAAUAAAGACUUUGCCCAAAAAGAGUGUUGCAAGACCUCCUGAAGUUUCAGUUGAUCUUCCUGUUAGUGAUGUUGGCUUGGUUAGCAGACAUUCAUCAUAUUUAGAUUCAUUUCUGGAUCCUGCCUUCAUGUCCUUGAUUAAAGACCCGGAUCAAAGGCGUUUGGAGCAAUGGGAGAAAACUGCCGAAGCACAAAGAGGCUGGAAUUGUGCUAAAAUGCUUGGAUAUGGCGACCUUGGUGGACCCACAUUAUCCGCCUCGGAAGAAUAUUCUCUCCACUCUAGAUACCUGUCUAAAGCAAAUGCUUUAAAUCUUGCUGAUAUUGCAGAAAUGAAAAUUGUCUAUCGUGGAGGGGUCGACAGUGAGGGUCAUCCUGUCAUGGUUGUUGUGGGGGCCCACUUCUUGCUCAGGUGUCUUGAUUUGGAGCGCUUUGUGCUCCAUGUUGUGAAGGAGUUUGAGCCUUUAAUACAGAAGCCUUUUACAAUUGUCUACUUCCACUCUGCUGCAUCUUUGCAAAUGAACGUUCAAGGGGAAUGAGCUAAUUGUUAAACUUCCAUUCCCAGCUAGUUAUUUUGUGUGAAUUAUGGGAUUACUUUGUCAAAUUAAUGGUAAUAUUUCCGUUGCCAAAAUAUGAUUAAACAUUUUUGUUGUAUACUUUUGAAAUAGUAUUUUGGUCUUCAAACUUCUAACAUUUUAUUGGUAGUGCAUGGUUGCCGGAAACAUCUACUUGGCCAUUGGCUUUGUCCAUGUGAGGGAUGGCGUCAUGAAGCCACUUAACCAUUUCUAGUUUGUACUUGAGACUGAUUCUGCAUUAAUUUUCUACCUGUUUAUGUGACUAAAACUUGAUAGAUAACCCAAUGUUAAAUUUAGGCAGCCCUUUGGUUUGAUUCUAUGUUGAGGGCGUUGUUUGCUGAGGGCAAAUAUUCCUGUAUGAGUGGUAGGAUUUUAUGAAGCAACACUUAAGAGACAAGGUGACCCUUUGUUGGAUAAAUUGUUAAAAUGAAUUGAAGUUGUUCCACUGGAGUGAAGCACACUUGAAUGAAUAAUAGUAGAUUUUGAAGGCAGCCAGACCUGGGUUGGAUGAGAAGAUUGCAACAGAUACUAGGUUGGAAGCACCAGCGCAACCUUCAUGCAAUAUAUGUCCUUCACCCAACUUUUGGACUAAAAGCAGCAGUAUUUGCACUUCAGUUGUUUGUGGAC